GGGAAGCAGGACAGCAAGCAACGUGCACAGAAAUUCUGCCACAAUAAAUAAAUAAAUAAAUAAACAAACAAACAAAUAGAUAGAUAGAUAGAGCUGCGAUUCCACAUUUCACACUAGAUAGAUAAUCAGGCAUGAUGACUCACUUAUAUAACAACAGCAUUCAGGAGAUAAAGACAGACCGAUCACUAUGAGAUCAUGACCAACCUGGACUUCUUCAUGAGUUCUAAGGUAACCAGAGCUACUAGAGCUGUCUCAAAGAAAGAAAGGGCCAGGCUUGGGGGCACAGGUUUAUUUCUUUGUUGUUUUGUUCGUUUAUUUCAGGAUAGGAUCUCACUAUGUACCUCUGGCUGUCUUAGAACUUACUGUGUAGACAAGGCCAGCAUCAAACUUACAGAAAUCCUGGCAACACGGGUUUUUAACCCUUGCAGUUGGGAGGUGGAGGCAGUCAAAUUAGGAGUUCAAGGCCAUCCGCAGCUCCAUAGUCAAUUCAAGGGCAAAUUCAGACCCUGCCUCACCAGAGGUGGUGAUAAACACCUUUAACCCCAGCACUCAGGAGGGAGAAGAAGGAUCACUGUGAGUCUGAGGGCAGCCUGGUCUACUGAGUGAGUUCCAGUAUAGCCAAGACUCUACAGAGAAACCCUGUCUUGAGAAAAAAAAACAACAACAA
rnacentral:lncRNA from 1 species